rnacentral:lncRNA from 1 species
CUUAAGUGACUGAACCAUCCAGGUGCCCCUGUGGUAUCUGUUUUUAUUUUUAUUUAUUUAAUUUAUUUAUUUUUCACAGGCACCCAGGGGGUUCCCACCUGCCCCGCGCCCCACACCACACCGCGGACGGGGGCGCACAUGCACGCGGACACGGCCCGACGGCCACUGGGCAGCGCCCUGUGACCUCCAAGAGCUCUGUCAACCUCCGCGCCGGGGCGGCCCAGCUGGCUGCCUCAGAUCUUCCUCUUCUCAUCUAUGCAGCAGAAGAAAUUAUGUUGCGUGAAUAUCAGCAUGAAAUGGGUAAAUGCCUCUAAAGCCUCUGACAAUGUUUUCCAACCAAAAGGUUUUAACUUGAAACUUUCUCAUAAAAAAUACAGAUGCUCAGCUGGUAAUCAAUCAUCUCUAAUUAUGCUUUGGAGAAACUUCAUAUGCAGAGAUAUUCAACUUGUCAUAGCUACAAUUUGUAAGUAAUUCUAAAAAAUUUAUAUUCUGUAAUCUCUUUGAAAGUUUAACUCAGUGACUGAAAGAUUGCUUCUCUUCCUGAACUCAAGUAUUAUUUAGUAAAAAUGGUGCUACUUAGUGCAAUAUUAUCAAGCUUUGUUGGGUUUCAAGUUUUGGGUCAUUUAUCUGUUUCCUAUUCUUCCCCUUCCAUGCAGAAAGUCCCUUGAUUGACCGUGUGGUGAGACUUGGAGACAGGUUGAGGUGGAGAAUCAGGACAUAGAAUUGCAUUUCUGAAAAAAAUGGCUUGAAAGCAGCCUAAUGGAAAGAGGUAGCAGAUUCCAAAAGUCAUGGGAAUGGAAGUCAGAGAGCUUCAAGUAAGGAGGACUGAAUGAGUGAUAAGUAAAAGCAACAAAUGCAGAUUGAGUAAUUCUAUAAGAAAUUUAAUCAUGUUAAGAAGACCAAAGAAUGGGUCAGAAUGAGGAAAGAUUCUUGAAAGCUAGAGUAGAUUUGAGCAUGUUUACCUAGAAGAAGAGCCAGUGAAGAUGGAGAGAUUGACGAUAGAAAAGAGCAGGAAUAAUUGUUAAAAAUUCUUGGAGGAAGGUUUUAGGAGAAAAUUCAGGAGCUCAUGUGGAGGGGUUAGCAAUAGCAGAGAAGCAGAAUACCUCUUGAGAAACUAAAAUGAGCUUAGAAAGAAUUAUAAAUAUACAGAAUGUGAUGGUUAAUUUUAUGUGUCAACUUGGAUAGUCAAUGAUACAUGAUUGUUUGGUUAAACACCAGUCUAGGUUUUGCUAUGCAGGUAUUCUUUUAGAUGUGAUUUACAUUUAAAUUAGUGGAUUCUGGGUAAAACAUUAUUUUCCAUGAAGUGUGUGGGCCUCAUCCAAUCAGUUGCAGGCCCUAAGAGCAAAAUCUGAGAUUCUUGAGGAAAAAAAGAAUUCUGCCUACAGAUGGCUUUUGAACUUGGACUCCAACAUUAACUCUUCCCCCAGCCUCCACCCUAUUGAAUUUUCCAGUCCCACAAUUGUGUGAACCAAAUCCCUAAAAUAAAUGUUUUUUUCUCUAUAUAUGUUGGUUUGCA